AUUGAACGCUAGCGGGAUGCUUUACACAUGCAAGUCGAACGGAGUGGCGGACGGGUGAGUAAUAUAUCGGAACGUGCCCCGUAGCGGGGGAUAACUACUCGAAAGAGUGGCUAAUACCGCAUACUAUUAGAGCGGCCGAUAUGGGAUUAGCUCGUUGGUGGGGUAACGGCUCACCAAGGCCACGAUCCGUAGCUGGUUUGAGAGGACGACCAGCCACACUGGGACUGAGACACGGCCCAGACUCCUACGGGAGGCAGCAGUGGGGAAUUUUGGACAAUGGGGGAAACCCUGAUACAGCCAUGCCGCGUGUAUGAUGAAGGCCUUCGGGUUGUAAAGUACUUUUGGCAGAGAAGCGGUAUCUGCAGAAUAAGCACCGGCUAACUACGUGCCAGCAGCCGCGGUAAUAC
rnacentral:rRNA from 1 species